rnacentral:tRNA from 1 species
GCCGAAGUGGCGGAACUGGUAGACGCGGCGGACUCAAAAUCCGCUGAGGGGAAGCCCUCGUGCCGGUUCGAGUCCGGCCUUCGGCACCA